AAGGCCCCUUCGGGGGUACUCGAGCGGCGAACGGGUGAGUAACACGUGAGUAACCUGCCCUGGACUUUGGGAUAACCCUCGGAAACGGGGGCUAAUACCGGAUAGGACUUCUGGCCGCAUGGCUGGGGGUGGAAAGUUUUUCGGUCUGGGAUGGACUCGCGGCCUAUCAGCUUGUUGGUGGGGUAAUGGCCUACCAAGGCGACGACGGGUAGCCGGCCUGAGAGGGCGACCGGCCACACUGGGACUGAGACACGGCCCAGACUCCUACGGGAGGCAGCAGUGGGGAAUCUUGCGCAAUGGCCGAAAGGCUGACGCAGCGACGCCGCGUGUGGGAGGACGCCUUUCGGG
rnacentral:rRNA from 1 species